GAUGAGCGCUAGCGGCAGGCUUAAUACAUGCAAGUCGAGGGGCAGCACGAAUAGCAAUAUUUGGUGGCGACCGGCGCACGGGUGCGUAACACGUAUACAACCUACCUAUAACAGGGGGAUAGCCUUUCGAAAGAGAGAUUAAUACCCCGUAAUAAAUUGAGUGGCAUCACUUGAUUUUGAAAGCUACGGCGGUUAUAGAUGGGUAUGCGUCUGAUUAGCUAGUUGGUGAGGUAACGGCUCACCAAGGCGACGAUCAGUAGGGGAUCUGAGAGGACUAACCCCCACACUGGUACUGAGACACGGACCAGACUCCUACGGGAGGCAGCAGUAAGGAAUAUUGGUCAAUGGACGCAAGUCUGAACCAGCCAUGCCGCGUGAAGGAUUAAGGUCCUCUGGAUUGUAAACUUCUUUUAUCUGGGACGAAAAAAGGCGAUUCUUCGUCACUUGACGGUACCAGAUGAAUAAGCACCGGCUAACUCCGUGCCAGCAGCCGCGGUAAUAC
rnacentral:rRNA from 1 species